rnacentral:rRNA from 1 species
UGGGGAAUUUUGGACAAUGGGGGCAACCCUGAUCCAGCAAUGCCGCGUGAGUGAAGAAGGCCUUCGGGUUGUAAAGCUCUUUUGUCAGGGAAGAAACGGUUUCGGCUAAUAUCCGGAGCUAAUGACGGUACCUGAAGAAUAAGCACCGGCUAACUACGUGCCAGCAGCCGCGGUAAUACGUAGGGUGCAAGCGUUAAUCGGAAUUACUGGGCGUAAAGCGUGCGCAGGCGGUUUUGUAAGUCUGUUGUGAAAUCCCCGGGCUUAACCUGGGAAUGGCAAUGGAGACUGCAAGGCUAGAGUUUGGCAGAGGGGGGUAGAAUUCCACGUGUAGCAGUGAAAUGCGUAGAGAUGUGGAGGAACACCGAUGGCGAAGGCAGCCCCCUGGGUCAAGACUGACGCUCAUGCACGAAAGCGUGGGGAGCAAACA